UGGGGAAUUUUGCACAAUGGGGGAAACCCUGAUGCAGCGACGCCGCGUGAUUUAGAAGGCCUUCGGGUUGUAAAAAUCUUUUUUAUGGGAUGAAAAUGACAGUACCAUAAGAAUAAGGUCCGGCUAAAUACGUGCCAGCAGCCGCGGUAAUACGUAUGGACCGAGCGUUGUCCGGAAUCAUUGGGCGUAAAGGGUACGUAGGCGGCCCAGUAAGUUAGAAGUGAAAUAAUAUAGCUCAACUAUAUAAAGCUUUUAAAACUGCUAGGCUUGAGAGAUGGAAGAGAAAGUGGAAUUCCUAGUGUAGCGGUGAAAUGUGCAGAUAUUAGGAAGAAUACCGGUGGCGAAGGCGACUUUCUGGUCAUCAUCUGACGCUGAGGUACGAAAGCGUGGGUAGCAAACAGG
rnacentral:rRNA from 1 species